UACAGAGGUCUCAAGCGUUGUUCGGAUUCAUUGGGCGUAAAGGGUGCGUAGGCGGCGCGGUAAGUCGGGUGUGAAAUCUCGGGGCUUAACUCCGAAACUGCAUUCGAUACUGCCGUGCUUGAGGACUGGAGAGGAGACUGGAAUUUACGGUGUAGCGGUGAAAUGCGUAGAUAACGUAAGGAAGACCAGUGGCGAAGGCGGGUCUCUGGACAGUUCCUGACGCUGAGGCACGAAGGUCAGGGGAGCAAACGGG
rnacentral:rRNA from 1 species